rnacentral:tRNA from 1 species
GGGUUUGGCUCAGUGGUAAAGUGCUCGCCUAGCAUGUGCGAGGCCCUGGGUUCGAUCCUUAGCACCACA